AGCUGGAUGGCCCAGUGGUUAGGGCACGAGCCUGGGACUUGAAAGACUUGGCUUCAAUUCCCUGUUCAGCCA
rnacentral:tRNA from 1 species